UACAGGGGGUGCAAACGUUGCUCGGAAUUAUUGGGCGUAAAGCGCGCGUAGGCGGCCACUUAAGUCGGAUGUGAAAGCCCCUGGCUCAACUGGGGAAGUGCACCCGAAACUGAAUGGCUUGAAUGCAAAAGAGGGUCGCGGAAUUCCCGGUGUAGAGGUGAAAUUCGUAGAUAUCGGGAGGAACACCUAUGGCGAAGGCAGCUCGCUGGGACGUUACUGACGCUGAGACGCGAAAGCGUGGGGAGCAAACAGG
rnacentral:rRNA from 1 species